AUUGAACGCUGGCGGCAGGCCUAACACAUGCAAGUCGAACGCGUGGCGGACGGGUGAGUCAUGUCUGGGAAACUGCCUGAUGGAGGGGGAUAACUACUGGAAACGGUAGCUAAUCCCGCAUACCAUCGGAUGUGCCCAGAUGGGAUUAGCCAGUAGGUGGGGUAAAGGCCCACCUAGGCGACGAUCCCUAGCUGGUCUGAGAGGAUGACCGGCCACACUGGAACUGAGACACGGUCCAGACUCCUACGGGAGGCAGCAGUGGGGAAUAUUGCACAAUGGGCGCAAGCCUGAUGCAGCCAUGCCGCGUGUAUGAAGAAGGCCUUCGGGUUGUAAAGUACUUUCAGCGGGGAGGCGUUACCCGCAGAAGAAGCACCGGCUAACUCCGUGCCAGCAGCCGCGGUAAUAC
rnacentral:rRNA from 1 species